rnacentral:rRNA from 1 species
AUUGAACGCUGGCGGCAGGCUUAACACAUGCAAGUCGAGCGGGGUGAUGGUGCUUGCACUAUCACUUAGCGGCGGACGGGUGAGUAAUGCUUAGGAAUCUGCCUAUUAGUGGGGGACAACAUCUCGAAAGGGAUGCUAAUACCGCAUACGUCCUACGGGAGAAAGCAGGGGAUCACUUGUGACCUUGCGCUAAUAGAUGAGCCUAAGUCGGAUUAGCUAGUUGGUGGGGUAAAGGCCUACCAAGGCGACGAUCUGUAGCGGGUCUGAGAGGAUGAUCCGCCACUCUGGGGCUGAGACACGGCCCAGACUCCUACGGGAGGCAGCAGUGGGGAAUAUUGGACAAUGGGGGGAACCCUGAUCCAGCCAUGCCGCGUGUGUGAAGAAGGCCUUAUGGUUGUAAAGCACUUUAAGCGAGGAGGAGGCUCUUUUGGUUAAUACCCAAGAUGAGUGGACGUUACUCGCAGAAUAAGCACCGGCUAACUCUGUGCCAGCCGCCGCUGUAA